UAGGAUGUGGCUCAAGUGGUAGAGCAUUUGCCUAGCAAGCAAAAGACUCUCUGAGUUCAGUCCUCACUAUACCAA
rnacentral:tRNA from 1 species